GAAUUCUUUCGGACUUUUGAAAGUGAUGGUGGUGGGGGAAGGAUUCGAACCUUCGAAGUCGAUGACGGCAGAUUUAGAGUCUGCUCCCUUUGGCCGCUCGGGA
rnacentral:tRNA from 1 species